GGAGAAUAAUUCUGACUCUAUAGCUAUAGCUAUCAUCUAAAUGUGAAUUUUGAUGUAUCAUGGCCGACCCACCACGUGCUUUUCCCCUUCACGUCCACAUGUAGAGUUAAUUACAUUGUUGAACACAUUAAAAAUGUGCGUUAAUUCAACAUGCGGCUGCGAACUUGGUUUCAGAAAUAUUCACCACGUAAAACAUUAAACAUGUGACUCAAUUCAAACAUGCGGCUGAGAACUUGGCACCCCAAAGCCAUCUCUGUUUUCUAUAUAAGCCGCUGCAACAUCGGAGCCCAAAUUGGUGUUGGAGUUAUUAAUCUCGAUAUCCCCAAAUAAUCAAAGCUCUCUUCUUCAUCAUUAUUUUAGCAUACUAGCUAAGCCCAUUUCACAAAGUGUUUGGGGAAGUAUCUGCAUGCCAGUGUACAUUUAGUAAAGAAAAAGAAGAAAAAAAUAAAGUUACUUCUCCCUACGUACGUGCAUGGCUGGUGCUACUUAGCUUCAUCGUUAUCAUCUUUCUCUUCGCCCUACAUACGUUCAUCCUCAUCAACUAUAUAUAUAUAUGUGCAGUUGGAAAUAGAAGAGCUCUGAUAUAUAUUCAGAUUUUAUAUAUACGAUCGAUCAUCAAGUUUACGGCUAAAGAGAUCGACAUGGAUGAGCAACGUACGAGACAACGAUGAUAGUAAAGCUCGACUAUCAAGUCAUUGAGGUUUCACAAUUUUUGCAUGGUCGGUUGCCAAGUUUUCGUAUGCUGCGUUUUGGUCAAGGAGAUUCAUGUAGCAUGUGAUAUAUAUAUACAUAUAGCGUAUAAUUAAGAUUGUAGAUACAUUUCUAAAGCCCAGAGUUGUCAUUAUAAAAGUUUUAAGGUCACAAGCUCUUAUAUGUAUCGUAUCACACGUAUGUGUAGGAGAGACAACUCUAUAAAAUUGAAAUGUUAUUUUCAUAUAGAAACCGUAUUUUUUAUGUUACAACUUAUACAAAAAGAGAUUAAUGAGAUAAAUAUACAAUAUUGAUGAAAACAAGUCGAGAAUUAUAUUAGAGGCAUAUGAUGGGAAUAAUUAGGAAGAGUUUUAGAUGGCAAUAGUUAGGCGGAGGCUAGGGUUUGAUUUGGCAUGGGAAUGCACAAAUUUGUAAGAAAGCUAAAGAUAAAAUGAGCUAGGAAUAGACCAUCUAGACAUAGCUUUC
rnacentral:lncRNA from 1 species